UCCUCCAUCAAGGACGAAGCAAGGAAAUAAAGGGUUGUGCGCAGCAUGCACCCAGCGCACGUUAGAGAAUACAGCCGCUGGAUUGAUAAUUAGUAGGUUGUACACGCACAAGGAAAAGAGAAGGAAACCCGCUAGAAAUUCACAAUUAUCUCGCAAACAUUCCAGAUUAGGGUUUCGUUGUCUUCUCUUCGGCUCUCCCUCUGCGGUCCAUAACACUCUUCGUCGUUUGCCGGUAAGAUCCGUGAACCCUUCCCCCGAGGUCUUCCUUUAUGUUCGUUCCUGUUUGUUUCUUUCUUUACUUCGAUAGAACGUCAUGUUGCUUACUUUUGAUUUCUAGAACGCCUUUGUAUCAUAUCUAGCCUUUAGAAACGAGUGAAAACGAAGGGAAACAGAGGAAAAGGGGACAGAGGAGAAGGAGGGGAGGGAAAGGAGGAGAUGAACGAGGGUGAGGGAGGGGAUCAGAUGGAUCAGUUUCAUCGAAAUGAGCGAUCUCG
rnacentral:lncRNA from 1 species